UACGGAGGGGGCUAGCGUUGUUCGGAAUUACUGGGCGUAAAGCGCACGUAGGUGGCUUUGUAAGUUAGAGGUGAAAGCCCGGGGCUCAACUCCGGAAUUGCCUUUAAGACUGCAUCGCUAGAACGUCGGAGAGGUAAGUGGAAUUCCGAGUGUAGAGGUGAAAUUCGUAGAUAUUCGGAAGAACACCAGUGGCGAAGGCGACUCACUGGACACAUAUUGACGCUGAGGUGCGAAAGCGUGGGGAGCAAACAGG
rnacentral:rRNA from 1 species